rnacentral:rRNA from 1 species
GGGAGGCAGCAGUGGGGAAUUUUGCGCAAUGGGGGAAACCCUGACGCAGCAACGCCGCGUGAGUGAUGAAGGCCUUCGGGUCGUAAAGCUCUGUCAGAGGGAAAGAAGUGUGGUAUGGCUAAUAUCCAUAUCACUUGACGGUACCCUCAAAGGAAGCACCGGCUAACUCCGUGCCAGCAGCCGCGGUAAUACGGAGGGUGCGAGCGUUGUUCGGAUUUAUUGGGCGUAAAGCGCGUGUAGGCGGUCUUUUAAGUCUGAUGUGAAAGCCCUGGGCUCAACCUGGGAAGUGCAUUGGAAACUGGGAGACUUGAAUACGGGAGAGGGUAGUGGAAUUCCUGGUGUAGGAGUGAAAUCCGUAGAUAUCAGGAGGAACACCGGUGGCGAAGGCGGCUACCUGGACCGAUAUUGACGCUGAGACGCGAAAGCGUGGGGAGCAAACAGGAUUAGAUACCCUGGUAGC